UACGUAGGGUCCGAGCGUUUGUCCGGAAUUACUGGGCGUAAAGAGCUCGUUAGGUGGUUUGUCGCGUUGUUCGUGAAAACUCACAGCUUAACUGUGGGCGUGCGGGCGAUACGGGCAGACUUGAGUACUGCAGGGGAGACUGGAAUUCCUGGUGAUAGCGGUGGAAUACGCAGAUAUCAGGAGGAACACCGAUGGCGAAGGCAGGUCUCUGGGCCACUACUGACGCUGAGAAGCGAAAGCCAUGGGGAGCGAACAGG
rnacentral:rRNA from 1 species